rnacentral:rRNA from 1 species
UACAGAGGGGGCAAGCGUUGUUCGGAAUUACUGGGCGUAAAGGGCGCGUAGGCGGCCUGUUAAGUCGAACGUGAAAUCCCCGGGCUCAACCCGGGAACUGCGUCCGAUACUGGCAGGCUUGAAUUCGGGAGAGGGAUGCGGAAUUCCAGGUGUAGCGGUGAAAUGCGUAGAUAUCUGGAGGAACACCGGUGGCGAAGGCGGCAUCCUGGACCAAUUCUGACGCUGAGUGAGCGAAAGCCAGGGGAGCAAACGGG